rnacentral:rRNA from 1 species
CCGGAACACAGGUGCUGCAUGGCUGUCGUCAGCUCGUGUCGUGAGAUGUUGGGUUAAGUCCCGCAACGAGCGCAACCCUUGUCAUUAGUUGCCAUCAUUUGGUUGGGCACUCUAAUGAGACUGCCGGUGACAACCGGAGGAAGGUGGGGGAUGACGUCAAGUCCUCAUGGCCCUUAUAGGUGGGGCUACACACGUCAUACAAUGGAUGGUACAAAGGGUCGCCAACCCGCGAGGGGGUGCCAAUCCCAUAAAGCCAUUCGUAGUCCGGAUCGCAGUCUGCAACUCGACUGCGUGAAGUCGGAAUCGCUAGUAAUCGUGGAUCAGAAUGUCACGGUGAAUACGUUCCCGGGUCUU